rnacentral:rRNA from 1 species
GACGAACGCUGGCGGCGUGCUUAACACAUGCAAGUCGAACGGAAAGGCCCUGCGUUUGUGGGUUGCUCGAGUGGCGAACGGGGGAGUAACACGUGAGUAACCUGCCCUUGACUUUGGGAUAACUUCAGGAAACUGGGGCUAAUACCGGAUAGGAUCUCCUGCUGCGUGGGGGUGGUUGGAAAGUUGCGGCGGUUGUGGAUGGACUCGCUGCUUAUCAGCUUGUUGGGGGGGUAGUGGCUGACCAAGGCUUUGACGGGUAGCCGGCCUUAGAGGGUGAACGGCCACAUUGGGCCUGAGAUACGGCCCAGACUGCUACGGGAGGCAGCAGUGGGGAAUAUUGCACAAUGGGCGGAAGCCUGAUGCAGCAACGCCGGGUGCGGGAUGACGGCCUUCGGGUUGUAAACCGAUUUCGACUGUGACGAAGCGUGAGUGACGGUAAUGGGUAAAGAAGCACCGGCUAACUACGUG